rnacentral:miRNA from 1 species
UCUGGUUGGAUUGUAGGCCUC